UCUCUCUCUCCCUCCAUUUGAAGCCUUCAGCUUUGUUUCUAUUUUCUCUAGAUCUGAUUUGUAGCCGAUUAAUCUCCAGGCUUCAACCAAUCGUUAAUUGAGGUUUGAAGUUGCUCGGAUUUUGGUCAAAUUAAAAACCCAAGCUUGAGCCCUUUGAUCUCUCUCUUCGUCAAACCCUAAAAUUUCAUUCCCAGAUGCCAAGUUUUCUGCCAGUCUAGUCCCUAUCGAAUCUAUGCCUUAUCUCCAGGUCUCCACAAAGAUGGCUUUGGAAUCCUAUACAUUUGGAUCGUACAAAAUCGACAGCAGGGAAGUGUUUUAUGACACUAAUCUAUCCAAAUAAUGGCCUGGUAGUUCCAAUACUUAAGCACAUACUGGGUGGACCAUGUUGAACAUUCUACAUGUGUGUACAUCUACCCUCUGGUGGGUCACUAAGAAUCCGAACCAGCUGCGAGGAAUUCAAGUCAUGAAUGGCGCCGUUGCUUUGGUGGUUGUUGUAAUCUGUUUGGAGAUUAGAGUUGUUUUCCAUUCAUUUGGGAGAUACAUUCAGGUGCCUCUGCUUUUGAAUUACCUUUUGGUGACUACUACAAUGCUUGGAGGUGCAGCU